rnacentral:rRNA from 1 species
AUACGGAGGAUGCGAGCGUUAUCCGGAUUUAUUGGGUUUAAAGGGUGCGUAGGCUGUGCGUUAAGUCAGGGGUGAAAUGCCGUCGCUCAACGACGGAGCUGCCCUUGAUACUGGCGUGCUGGAGUACGGAUGCCGUUGGAGGAAUGAGUGGUGUAGCGGUGAAAUGCUUAGAUAUCACUCAGAACACCGAUUGCGAAGGCAUCUGACGAAUCCGUCACUGACGCGGAGGCACGAAAGCGUGGGGAUAGAACAGGAUUAGAUACCCUGGUAUUCCACGCCGUAAACGAUGAUGACUAACCGUCGGCGAUAGACAGCCGGUGGCCAAGCGAAAGCGAUAAGUCAUUCACCUGGGGAGUACGUCGGCAACGAUGAAACUCAAAUGAAUUGACGGGG